rnacentral:rRNA from 1 species
UACGGGGGGAGCAAGCGUUGUUCGGAUUUACUGGGCGUAAAGGGCGCGUAGGCGGCCUCCGCAAGUCAGUUGUGAAAUCUCCGAGCUUAACUCGGAAAGGUCAACUGAUACUGCAGGGCUAGAGUGCAGAAGGGGCAACUGGAAUUCUCGGUGUAGCGGUGAAAUGCGUAGAUAUCGAGAGGAACACCUGCGGCGAAGGCGGGUUGCUGGGCUGACACUGACGCUGAAGCGCGAAAGCCAGGGGAGCGAACGGG